rnacentral:rRNA from 1 species
AGAGUUUGAUCCUGGCUCAAAUGAACGUUGGCGGCGUGGCUUAGGCAUGCAAGUCGUACGGGCCCGGCCUUCGGGUCGGGUCAGUGGCGCAAGGGUGAGUAAGGCGACGGCAACCUACCCCGGGGCUGGCCAUAGCCGCGGGAAACUGCGGGUAAUAGUCAGCGACGCCGAGGCCCGGCAUCGGGCCCCGGCCAAAGGUGUGAUUCCGCCCCGGGACGGGCCGUCGUGGUAUUAGGUUGUUGGUGGGGUAAUGGCCCACCAAGCCGACGAUGCCUACCGGGCGUGCGAGCGUGGCCCGGCACACUGGGACUGAGACACUGCCCAGACUCCUACGGGAGGCUGCAGUCGAGAAUCUUCGGCAAUGGGCGCCAGCCUGACCGAGCGACGCCGCGUGGAGGACGAAGGCCUUCGGGUUGUAAACUCCUGUCGAGGGGGACCAAGGCGCGAUGAAGAGUCGCGCUUGAGAGAUCCCGGGAGGAAGCACGGGCUAAGUUCGUGCCAGCAGCCGCGGUAAGACGAACCGGGCGAACGUUAUUCGGAAUCAUUGGGCUUAAAGGGCGCGUAGGCGGAGCGGCGCGUCGGCGUUGAAAGCCCCCGGCUCAACCGGGGAACCGGCGCCGAAACGGCCGCGUCUCGAGGCGAGAAGAGGGACCUGGAACUUCCGGUGGAGCGGUGAAAUGCGUUGAGAUCGGACGGAACACCAGCGGCGAAAGCGAGGUUCUGGGCUCGUACUGACGCUGAGGCGCGAAAGCCAGGGGAGCGAACGGGAUUAGAUACCCCGGUAGUCCUGGCCGUAAACGAUGGGCACCAGACGGUGUGCUCGCCGAUGGGCGCGCCGUCGCAGCGAAAGCGGGAAGUGCCCCGCCUGGGGAGUAUGGUCGCAAGGGCUGAACUCAAAUGAAUUUGACGG